CCUACGGGAGGCAGCAGUGGGGAAUAUUGGGCAAUGGGCGCAAGCCUGACGCAGCAACGCCGCGUGAAGGAAGAAGGCUUUCGGGUUGUAAACCUCUUUUCUGAGGGACGAAGAAAGUGACGGUACCUCAGGAAUAAGCCACGGCUAACGACGUGCCAGCAGCCGUGGUAAUAAGUAGGUGGCAAGCGUUAUCCGGUGUUAUUGGGGGUAAAGGGCGUGUAGGCGGGAAAGCAAGUCAGAAGUGAAAACUCAGGGCUCAACCCUGAGACUGCAUUUGAAACUGUUUUUCUUGAGUGCUGGAGAGGCAAUCGGAAUUCCGUGUGUAGCGGUGAAAUGCGUAGAUAUACGGAGGAACACCAGUGGCGAAGGCGGAUUGCUGGACAGUAACUGACGCUGAGGCGCGAAAGCGUGGGGAGCAAACAGGAUUAGAUACCCGAGUAGUC
rnacentral:rRNA from 1 species